GACAGCAGUCGCCGCGGUAAUACGAAGGGUGCAAGCGUUACUCGGAAUUACUGGGCGUAAAGCGUGCGUAGGUGGUGGUUUAAGUCCGUUGUGAAAGCCCUGGGCUCAACCUGGGAAUUGCAGUGGAUACUGGGUCACUAGAGUGUGGUAGAGGAUAGUGGAAUUUCCGGUGUAGCAGUGAAAUGCGUAGAGAUCGGAAGGAACAUCUGUGGCGAAGGCGACUAUCUGGGCCAACACUGACACUGAGGCACGAAAGCGUGGGGAGCAAACAGGAUUAGAUACCCGCGUAGUCCCUGUCUCUUAUAC
rnacentral:rRNA from 1 species